rnacentral:rRNA from 1 species
GAUGAACGCUAGCGGGAGGCUUAACACAUGCAAGUCGUGGGGCAGCAUUUGGUAGCAAUACUGAGAUGGCGACCGGCGCACGGGUGAGUAACGCGUAUGCAACCUACCCAGUACAGGGGGAUAGCCCGGAGAAAUUCGGAUUAAUACCCCAUAAUGAUAUAAAGAGGCAUCUUUUUAUAUUUAAAGCUUCGGCGGUACUGGGUGGGCAUGCGUAAGAUUAGAUAGUUGGUAGGGUAACGGCAUACCAAGGCUCCGAUCUUUAGGGGUCCUGAGAGGGUGAUCCCCCACACUGGUACUGAGGCACGGACCAGACUCCUACGGGAGGCAGCAGUGAGGAAUAUUGGUCAAUGGGCGCAAGCCUGAACCAGCCAUCCCGCGUGAAGGAAGAAAGCGCUAUGCGUUGUAAACUUCUUUUCCGGAGGAAUAAAAUCUUGUACGUGUACAGGACUGAAGGUACUCCGGGAAUAAGCAUCGGCUAACUCCGUGCCAGCCGCCGCUGUAAUAC